UCUUCUCCAGCUCCUCAUUUCUCAAUCUUUCCUCUUCAUUGUGUCGCCAUUUUUCGAAUUUACAUUUUUGAUCGUUCACGUGCUUUUGCUCUACUUCAAGUGCCAUUCUUCUCUCAUCCAGCACUUCCCAUUCCAUUUCGAAUUUCUCCCUUUCAAGCCUCAGAGCCUCAGUUUCCAAAACAAGUGAUUCUUUGAACUUAUUGUACUCAUCAAUCUCUUGCUUCAGUUUUG
rnacentral:misc_RNA from 1 species